GGUGGCGAUAGCAAGAAGGAUACACCUGUUCCCAUGUCGAACACAGAAGUUAAGCUUCUUAGCGCCGAGAGUAGUUGGGGGAGCACCCCCUGCGAGGGUAGG
rnacentral:rRNA from 1 species